GGUUGUGGUGUUGGAAGCCAACUUUUGAGGACACUUCAUGGUCACUUACAGUAUCUGUUUGGCAGGUAUAGUCCAAUCUGUCCUACUAUGGAUGGGCAACUCCCCUGGCCAAAUCCCUUUGAAACAUCAUGGGGGUAGAAAUUUAUCUUUUUUUUUAAAGAAUGAAGACUUGGCUAAGUACAGGUCACAACAAAACAAGAUGAAUGGACAUGGUUAACAGAUAAACAAUAACUCCAUGGAAACAUUUAAAUCAAAAGGAAAACAUUUGGAGUUUUAGUGCCAUAAUCCUGCUAUGUAUAAGCCUCAGCCGAUGUACACUGAAAACAUAAAAAGCAAGGAAUCGAUCCUCAAUUUGCAACAUGAACUUGCUUUCAAUGCAAGGAGUUGUACAAUGCUUUAGGAAAUUCAUGUUACAUUUUCUUUUGUAACUAUUCUGUUUCUGCACCUUUGUCAUGCGGGUCAUACCUCAGGUCACCUAUUGUUCCAGGCAUGCAAAUGACCACUGUCCAAUUAUCAAAUUAGAGAGUCUGGUCGGGCUACCCUGACAUGGGUGCACUGGCACUGGCUC